UACGUAGGGUGCGAGCGUUAAUCGGAAUUACUGGGCGUAAAGCGUGCGCAGGCGGUUUUGUAAGCCAGAUGUGAAAUCCCCGGGCUUAACCUGGGAAUGGCAUUGGAAACUGGCGGGCUGGAGUGCGGCAGAGGGGGGUGGAAUUCCACGUGUAGCAGUGAAAUGCGUAGAUAUGCGGAGGAACACCGAUGGCGAAGGCAAUCCCCUGGGCCUGCACUGACGCUCAUGCACGAAAGCGUGGGGAGCAAACAGG
rnacentral:rRNA from 1 species